rnacentral:rRNA from 1 species
AUUAGCUAGUUGGUGGGGUAACGGCUCACCAAGGCGACGAUGCGUAGCCGACCUGAGAGGGUGAUCGGCCACACUGGGACUGAGACACGGCCCAGACUCCUACGGGAGGCAGCAGUAGGGAAUCUUCCGCAAUGGACGAAAGUCUGACGGAGCAACGCCGCGUGAGUGAUGAAGGUUUUCGGAUCGUAAAACUCUGUUGUUAGGGAAGAACAAGUGCCGUUCGAAAGGGCGGCACCUUGACGGUACCUAACGAGAAAGCCACGGCUAACUACGUGCCAGCAGCCGCGGUAAUACGUAGGUGGCAAGCGUUGUCCGGAAUUAUUGGGCGUAAAGCGCGCGCAGGCGGUCUCUUAAGUCUGAUGUGAAAGCCCCCGGCUCAACCGGGGAGGGUCAUUGGAAACUGGGAGACUUGAGUACAGAAGAGGAGAGUGGAAUUCCACGUGUAGCGGUGAAAUGCGUAGAGAUGUGGAGGAACACCAGUGGCGAAGGCGACUCUCUGGUCUGUAACUGACGCUGAGGCGCGAAAGCGUGGGGAGCAAACAGGAUUAGAUACCCUGGUAGUCCACGCCGUAAACGAUGAGUGCUAGGUGUUAGGGGUUUCGACGCCCUUAGUGCCGAAGUUAACACAUUAAGCACUCCGCCUGGGGAGUACGACCGCAAGGUUGAAACUCAAAGGAAUUGACGGGGGCCCGCACAAGCAGUGGAGCAUGUGGUUUAAUUCGAAGCAACGCGAAGAACCUUACCAGGUCUUGACAUCCUUUGACCACCCUAGAGAUAGGGCUUUCCCCUUCGGGGGACAAAGUGACAGGUGGUGCAUGGUUGUCGUCAGCUCGUGUCGUGAGAUGUUGGGUUAAGUCCCGCAACGAGCGCAACCCUUGACCUUAGUUGCCAGCAUUCAGUUGGGCACUCUAAGGUGACUGCCGGUGACAAACCGGAGGAAGGUGGGGAUGACGUCAAAUCAUCAUGCCCCUUAUGACCUGGGCUACACACGUGCUACAAUGGAUGGUACAAAGGGUUGCGAAGCCGUGAGGUGAAGCCAAUCCCAGAAAGCCAUUCUCAGUUCGGAUUGCAGGCUGCAACUCGCCUGCAUGAAGCCGGAAUUGCUAGUAAUCGCGGAUCAGCAUGCCGCGGUGAAUACGUUCCCGGGCCUUGUACACACCGCCCGU